CCACCUCCACCUCCACCACUUGGAUAUUUCCCAUUUCCUCCACUGCCAUCAAAUAUACCCCCACCGUUGCCGCCAACAUCAGUUUUUAAUUUAUUUCCGUUCUCCAAAAUCUUAACAUCCUUCCCUACUACAUUUUCCACGCCUUCGUGUUUAACAACCGUGGUGGUGCCCACACCCGAUUGCGGUUCAGAAGGUGUCUGUGAGUUCCUGACCACAAGCCUCUGUUUCUGAAUAGAGACAUGUCUGACCUGCACAUGAAAAGUUACCGCCCCCUUCGCUAAUGUUUUGAGUCUAAAAUUAUUGCGAAUCAUCAAGUUCCAACAACCCAAAACGACAUUGUUUUGCAAAUUCACAGCGUUUGAUAAUCUGAAACUCGAUGCACAACCAGCCAUCUCCAUAACCAGCUCAGAGAAGUCGACAAAUAAAUGCAUGUAUAAUCUUCCGCCGAUAAACCUUGUUUGAGGAAGGAAAGAUAGAGAGAGUUGGGUGAAGUGGAGCAGGUGCUGGAGGCGGCGAAGGAACGGGGUGAGAAAAGUGACUUAUAAAUAGAGAUGUUAAUGUCAGGUUUCAGCUUUU
rnacentral:misc_RNA from 1 species